rnacentral:rRNA from 1 species
GAUGAACGCUAGCGGCAGGCCUAACACAUGCAAGUCGAGGGGUAGAGUUCUUCGGAACUUGAGACCGGCGCACGGGUGCGUAACGCGUAUGCAAUCUACCUUAUACAGGGGAAUAGCCCAGAGAAAUUUGGAUUAAUGCCCCAUAGUAUUAUUGAAUGGCAUCAUUUAAUAAUUAAAGUUCCAACGGUAUAAGAUGAGCAUGCGUCCCAUUAGUUAGUUGGUAAGGUAACGGCUUACCAAGACGAUGAUGGGUAGGGGGCCUGAGAGGGAGAUCCCCCACACUGGUACUGAGGCACGAACCAGACUCCUACGGGAGGCAGCAGUGAGGAAUAUUGGUCAAUGGUCGCAAGACUGAACCAGCCAUGCCGCGUGCAGGAAGACGGUCCUAUGGAUUGUAAACUGCUUUUAUACAGGAAGAAACCCUCCCACGUGUGGGAGCUUGACGGUACUGUAGGAAUAAGGAUCGGCUAACUCCGUGCCAGCCGCCGCAGUAACAC